AAGGAUCAUUACCGAACUGUCGACAUGAGUUGUUGCUGGCCUUCAAACGAGGGCAUGUGCACGCUCUGUUUGCACAUCCACUCACACCUGUGCACCUCUUGUAGUUCUAUGGUCUGGGAGGCUCCGCUUCCCUUCUGUGGUUCUACGUCUUUACACACACGCAGUAACAAAGUCUUGUGGAAUGUAUGCCGCGUUUAACGCAAUACAAUACAACUUUCAGCAACGGAUCUCUUGGCUCUC
rnacentral:misc_RNA from 1 species